AAUCGUGUGGACAGAUUUGAACUGCUUGCAACCACAGAAAAAAAUGCUAAAAAUGUCUUG
rnacentral:ncRNA from 1 species